GGGCUUUAAAUUCAGCAUCUCUUAGAAAGGGGUUAGGAAAUUGACCAUAUCUUGUGAGAUUUGUUGUAAGCAGCAGCAUCGAGAUGUAAUGAAUUUGUUAGAAGAAGCAAGUGCGAAACGUGGGACCAAAGUACUACCGCGUCGCGUUCCAAAAUUUAUGUGCCUUGCUGUACAAAAGGAUAAGUUCUUUGGAGCAUCAUUCUCUAUUUGAAAUUCUUCAAUGCAAAAAUACUUCUUCUGGAAGCAUUGUUCUUCAUGAAAGACUUGACCGUUUGAAUUUCUGCCUUCACCCAUCCUUUGGAAUUUCCUGGACAUUGAUUUGUCUGUAAAUGACUUUGGAUGAAGGUUUAUGUUCCUUAUUUGCCAUUUAUAUAUCGAAUGCUUUUGCACAACUGAAUAUAAAUUUCUAGUAUUUGUA